UUGUGCACUGUUGGUGGAAAUGUCAAUUUUCCAUAGUGCAGCCAACAUGGACAACAGUAUGGAGAUUUCUCAACAAUGAAAAAUAAAACUAUCAUUUCAAAGGCCCAAAGUGGGUGUUGAUACUAUGUGAUUUCUGUCCAGUUCUCUGAAUGUCAAAGCAAAGAAAUUCAAUGAAACGUGAGUAAAUGGUGGGAAUAACUAUGACUCUCUUAAGGUGGCCAAAUGCCAGUCACCUAAUUAGUGACAUGCAUGAGUGGAUAAAGGAAAUUCCCACUAUGCCUACCUACUUUCCAGAGAAACCACAGCCAAGGGAACUAGCUUGG
rnacentral:ncRNA from 1 species